CCCUUAGAUGUUCUGGGCUGCACGCGCGCUACACUGAAGCGUUCAACGAGUAUUUCACCUUGCCCGGGAGGGUUGGGUAAUCUUUUUAAAACGCUUCGUGAUGGGGAUAGAUUAUUGCAAUUAUUAAUCUUCAACGAGGAAUUCCUAGUAAGCGCGAGUCAUCAGCUCGUGCUGAUUACGUCCCUGCCCUUUGUACACACCGCCCGUCGCUCCCACCGAUUGAGUGAUCCGGUGAAUAAUUCGGACUGCAGCAGUGCUUGGUCCUCCGGGCUUUGCAGCGGAAAGUUUAGUGAACCUUAUCACUUAGAGGAAGGAGAAGUCGUAACA
rnacentral:rRNA from 1 species